UACAGAGGUGGCAAGCGUUGUUCGGAAUUACUGGGCGUAAAGGGCGCGUAGGCGGUCUUCUAAGUCUUGUGUGAAAUCCCUCGGCUCAACUGAGGAACUGCACGGGAUACUGCCCGACUAGAGGUAGGUAGGGGAGAUCGGAAUUCCUGGUGUAGCGGUGAAAUGCGCAGAUAUCAGGAGGAACACCGGUGGCGAAGGCGGGUCUCUGGGCAACUACUGACGCUGAGGAGCGAAAGCGUGGGGAGCGAACAGG
rnacentral:rRNA from 1 species